rnacentral:rRNA from 1 species
AACGAACGCUGGCGGCAGGCUUAACACAUGCAAGUCGAACGCACCUUUCGGGGUGAGUGGCAGACGGGUGAGUAACGCGUGGGAAUCUACCCUUCUCUACGGGAUAGCUCCGGGAAACUGGAAUUAAUACCGUAUACGUCCUGAGGGAGAAAGAUUUAUCGGGGAAGGAUGAGCCCGCGUUGGAUUAGCUAGUUGGUGGCGUAAAGGCCUACCAAGGCGACGAUCCAUAGCUGGUCUAAGAGGAUGAUCAGCCACAUUGGGACUGAGACACGGCCCAAACUCCUACGGGAGGCAGCAGUGGGGAAUAUUGGACAAUGGGCGCAAGCCUGAUCCAGCCAUGCCGCGUGAGUGAUGAAGGCCCUAGGGUUGUAAAGCUCUUUCAGUGGGGACGAUAAUGACGGUACCCACAGAAGAAGCCCCGGCUAACUUCGUG